ensembl:lncRNA
CCGCGUGCAAUACCCGAAAGAAGAGUUGCACUGGUUUUGUAAACCAAAUGGAAGAGGCAUAUAAGAUUCUACGCUGGCAGAGGAUCUCCAACAUGAUAGCUCUAUGGCUGAUAUAAAACGUGACAUUAGAUGCUCACUUGUGCAUCACUGGAAAAAAAUGGACCUUCUAGGAUUGAGCCACCCUCAGCAAGUUACAUUACUCUUCACUUGUGAUCAUGAACCAAAGAUCUGUGUCUGCUGAUCCUCCAACUAUGGUUGUGCUGGACCAAUCCUUUGAGCAGCCGAGAAGCCAAAUGAAUGUUAGCAAUCGUUUGAUUGUAGCUUUAAUUGCCAAAUUUAAUGUCUAAUCUGGAGGAUCAAGGAACAUCUUGAUCGAGGAAGGAUCUCGGCAUACCCCGCAUGUUUCGAAGUGUAGAUUUGGUUGGGAGCCCUGGGGUUUCCAGUAUAAUGGAGGUAGGUUCAGAGACAUGCCAGCACCUCUGUCCUCAUCAACAGCUUCAUCCGCAACAGCAGCUUCAGCAGAAGAGGAAGACUGUCACCCAUGCUCUCGAAGACCAGAAAAAACCAGUAACGAACGAGUGUUUGCUCAGUUCACCUGCAGUGCAGCUGCACAUUCAUUGUGAUUAUAAGGGUGUCACAGCUUGAUAGUUCAACAAAGAACAGGUUGUUCUCACCAACCCUUGGCAUACCCCAUUUCUGAAUUAAGACGAUAUGUUGAUUUUAUUUAUGCAGGUCUUCUCCAACAACCGUUUGUCUAUGUGUGUGUGUGGUUUUCCAGAAAAAUUUCCACUGAGGUCUGCAACAUAAAUCCAGAUUAAAAUGUUGAAGCCCUCUCGAUCACCCUCCUCUGAAUGCUUUUCUUUCACGACGAGUUGAGCUCAGCCUCUGGACUUCUGUGUUAAUUCACUGUUAGCCCUGUCAUCGCCAUUAACUGGUUCCACUGACACGGAAUAUAAUCACUUUAUAGGGGCCGUGAGGAAUGGGGAAUUGUCCAGAGUCCUCCUUCUCAAUAAAGACGAGCUUGCCAGCAGACAUUAGGCUCUAUCGGCCUGACUGACUAGCAAAGCUAAAUUGUGAGCUUUGCAUGUGAGCUGUUCUGAUUUAGCUUUGUAUUCCAGGCACUCACCCAACCAGGUUCCACUGGGCUGAAGAUCAACUUUGUGGUUCGCUUUCAAGUCUUUUGAGUUUUUCAGUGCACAGUUUUUCAGUUGUUGGUUCACCUGUGUGUAGAAACAGUGAGCAUGGUCCAGUAUACGUGUUCAUAUUCAAUUCUGACACAUUUCCACUAUUAAUCAUUGGCAAAAACGAACCAGUGUAGCUAACUGAAAGUUGAAAAGUUUCCAAAUUACUUUGUUGAACCAAUAGAUGAAAAUUUGAUAAGCAUUUAUUUAAUUGAGUUUUUGAAGGAUGUUUGAUAGAAUAUAGUUACAGCACAACCUGUAAAUUAUUAUUUAUACGACAGUUCGCCAGUAGAUGCCGGGAAAUGACUGUCUUUGAUUCAUUCAUUUAACCAAUUGUUCAAAAACAAGGAUUCAUUUGGGAACAAAACAAAUGAGUGAUUCAUUGAAUCAUUCAGUCAACUAGUUCACUCAAAAACAUUCAGGAACGAAUCGUGCAAGUGUUUUUACAAGCGAGUGAUUGAAUUAUUCACUUGAUUCAUUCAAAAUGACUCAUUCAGCCACGAAACACCGGAAUGGUUCUGUGGAGUCAUUUGGAGCUAUUGUAUUGUGAUAUUGUGCCUAAAAUUUUAAUUAUUCUUUAUUAAUGUCCUGUUUGCUGAACUGUUGUAUUAAAGCCAAAUAAAUCACGCUGUUGUUGUCAUUUUAGAUAUGAUUAUCAACUUGCAAAUUAAGUGAUAUGUUUUGGUUUAAGUUAAGUUGUGUAAAUAACAGCAUUACAAUGCAAAUAUGAAUUUACUAUUCAGUUUUUAGAUAUUCAGAGGU